rnacentral:lncRNA from 1 species
CCUGCUGUUGGGGAAAGCGAUAGUGGUUCUGGCAACCACGAUCUGCGAGAGAUGACUCAACAAGGGAAGCAAACACUGAUACGGUACCGAGGUUCUGCUUCAAGAAAAGAAACCAUGGAUCUGGUAUUGGGAUUAUCGAUCUGGCCUCGAACUCUAAGGAGCAGUCACUUCUGUUGGGAAGAUACAGUCUGACACUGUCAACUCCGCUGGGGAUAUAUAGUCUGGCACUGUCAA